UGAUAUAAAAUGUGACAAAACGUAUGUCAGAAGUGGGAUUUGAACCCACGCCUCCAUUCGGAGACCAGAAUUCCCGUUCAUACGGAAGGAGCUGAUCCUUGAGUCUGGCGCCUUAGACCACUCGGCCAUCCUGACACUGAUGUAUAAACUGGGAAAAUAAUGGUAUUUCAAAAUUAGAGCCAGCAAUCAUUUAAGUAAAUUAUUAUUAUAGAUGGUUGAGUGUUUAUUUACAACAUAGUGCAUUACGCACCAACAGUAAAACAUACAGUAAGACAUACAAAAAAAAAAAAAACGCUCAUGUCAGUCAGCGUCAGUUAUGCGCAUGAGCGUAGAGUGCUUUUUAUAUAGUUUCCGGUAUUUGUCGCCAACGUUCUUCCAUUUUGUUCUUCAAGGGUAUCUACAAACCUCAAGUCGAGCCAACAUGUUUCGGUUUGUUAAAGCAGCGCUGAACGUCUCCGCAGGACAAGGUGCCCGUCAAGUGAGGCUCAGUUCGACGCACUCCCCCGAAUUCCAUGCCAAGUAUGGCACCGGACUGAUGAUCGGAGGAUUCGCGUUUUGUGUGUCUGUCUGGGGAUUU